UGUUCUGCAGGGUGAGGCUGCUUUUGUGACACUUGAAACAGGACACCCAAGCAAUGCAAAGCUCCUGAAUGCUGUGUUUCAUAUGCUGCUCCCACUGUGCACAGCAGGCAGAAGAGAAGAACAGAAGCCUCAGACACUUGCGUGACACUAUUCCCAACUCCAGUAAAAAUGCUGGCAAUGUCACUGCCAAGUGCCUCUUCGCUACUCUUGAUAUCCUUUUACUG